rnacentral:rRNA from 1 species
UGAGGAAUAUUGGUCAAUGGGCGAGAGCCUGAACCAGCCAAGUAGCGUGCAGGAUGACGGCCCUAUGGGUUGUAAACUGCUUUUAUAUGGGAAUAAAGUGAGGGACGUGUCCCUUAUUGCAUGUACCAUACGAAUAAGGACCGGCUAAUUCCGUGCCAGCAGCCGCGGUAAUACGGAAGGUCCAGGCGUUAUCCGGAUUUAUUGGGUUUAAAGGGAGCGUAGGCUGUUUGUUAAGCGUGUUGUGAAAUGUAAGAGCUCAACUUUUAGAUUGCAGCGCGAACUGGCAGACUUGAGUGCGCACAACGUAGGCGGAAUUCAUGGUGUAGCGGUGAAAUGCUUAGAUAUCAUGACGAACUCCGAUUGCGAUGGCAGCUUACGGGAGCGCAACUGACGCUAAAGCUCGAAGGUGCGGGUAUCGAACAGG